rnacentral:rRNA from 1 species
GACGAACGCUGGCGGCGUGCUUAACACAUGCAAGUCGAACGGAAAGGCCCUGCUUUUGUGGGGUGCUCGAGUGGCGAACGGGUGAGUAACACGUGAGUAACCUGCCCUUUACUUUGGGAUCACUUCAGGAAACUGGGGCUAAUACCGGAUAGGAGCUCCUGCUGCAUGGUGUUGGUUGGAAAGUUUCGGCGGUUGGGGAUGGACUGGCGGCUUAUCAGCUUGUUGGUGGGGUAGGGGCUUACCAAGGCUUUGACGGGUAGCCGGCCUGAGAGGGUGACCGGCCACAUUGGGCCUGAGAUACGGCCCAGACUCCAAGGGGAGGCAGCAGGGGGGAAUAUUGCACAAUGGGCGGAAGCCUGAUGCAGCAAGGCCGCGUGCGGGAUGACGGCUUUGGGGUGGUAAACCGUUUUCGCCGGUGACGAACCGUGAGUGACGGUAAUGGGUAAAGAAGCACCGGCUAACUACGUG